rnacentral:rRNA from 1 species
CGGGGUGCAGCAGGCGCGAAAACUCCACAAUGCGCGAAAGCGUGAUGGGGUUAACCCGAGUGCCGUCCGAUGAGGAUGGCUUUUCUUCAGUUUAAGGAUCUGGAGGAAUAAAGGGGGGGCAAGACUGGUGUCAGCCGCCGCGGUAAUACCAGCCCCCUGAGUGGUAGGGACGAUUAUUUGGCCUAAAGCGUCCGUAGCCUGUUUGGGAAGUCUUUCGUUAAAUCCGACGAUUCCAUCGUUGGGACGCGGAAGAUACUGCCAGACUUGAGGACGGGAGAGGUCGACGGUAGUCCUAGGGUAGGGGUGAAAUCCUAUAAUCCUAGGAGGACCACCAGUGGCGAAGGCGGUCGACUAGAACGUGCCUGACGGUGAUGGACGAAAGCUGGGGGAGCGAACCGGAUUAGACACCCGGGUAGUCCCAGCUGUAAACGAUGCGAGCUAGGUGUUGGAGCAACUACGAGUUGCUCCAGUGCCGCAGAGAAGUUGUUAAGCUCGCCGCCUGGGAAGUACGGCCGCAAGGCUGAAACUUAAAGGAAUCGGCGGGCGA